CCUCUCUCUAGCCCCAAAAUCCCCCGAAAAGCCUAGGGAACCUCCCUAGCACGAGGCGGAAGCCCCGGAGUGCUCGAAGGCUCCGAGAAGAAGAGCUUUUCGGCUCGGGAACGCUGCUCCAAGCAAAGCCCGGUUUUCUAUAAAACCCGCUGUUUCGUCGAAGAAAAAUUCUUUUUAAGAAGCGAAGCGCUGUCUGAGUUCGGAAUCACCACCUUUUCAGGUAGUGGCGCUUGAGCAUAUAUAUGAUGUUUGGACGAGGGAUUACGGAUAUAGGCCUGUAGAUAUGAAAUAAUGUAGUAAGGCUUGUAUUGUACUGUUUAUGCUUUUGAUCUGUACGAACAUGACAUCCCGAGUCUUUUAAUGAAAUACAUUUCUAUGGAAA